rnacentral:piRNA from 1 species
UGACAGUUCUUGAACACAGACUCUCGC